CCCUCCCCCAACCCUACAGGGGCCAAUCCUGCUUAAACCUUUGCUCUCCUUCCCAGCCAAUCGGGGGAAUAGCAGGAGGUGGAUGUAUUGGGGGAAGCAUACAUUCCACUCGAGUGAAGAGGUCUGAGCCACCCAUAGUUGACCUGGUGGAACUGCUGCGCGAGUAACGCUCGGCUGCCUCUCUGCGUGUCCAGGUGAGAAAUAUGGGAGGGUC